rnacentral:tRNA from 1 species
GUCCGCAAUGGAUAGCGUGUUGAACUUCUAAUCCAAAGGUCGUGGGUUCGAAUCCCACCUGAGACG